AGCAGCCGCGGUAAUUCCAGCUCCAAUAGCGUAUAUUAAAGUUGUUGCAGUUAAAAAGCUCGUAGUUGAAUUUCGGGGUCAAUACGUCGGUCGUGCCUUCGGUACGUACUGGUGUUAUUGAUCUCUCCCUUCUGAUGAAUCAUGAUGUCAUUAAUUUGGUGUCGUGGGGAGUCAGGACUGUUACUUUGAAAAAAUUAGAGUGUUUAAAGCAGGCUCACGCUUGAAUACAUUAGCAUGGAAUAAUGAAAUAGGACGUUUGAUCCUAUUUCGUUGGUUUCUAGGAUCGACGUAAUGAUUAAUAGGGAUAGUUGGGGGCAUUAGUAUUCAAUUGUCAGAGGUGAAAUUCUUGGAUUUAUUGAAGACUAACUACUGCGAAAGCAUUUGCCAAGGAUGUUUUCAUUAAUCAAGAACGAAAGUUAGGGGAUCGAAGACGAUCAGAUACCGUCGUAG
rnacentral:rRNA from 1 species